rnacentral:rRNA from 1 species
UAAAAUCUAAUUUAUUUUCAAAAAAUACUUUUUUAUUUAUCUUUAAAUAAAUUUUUAAACAAACUGAAAAGGAAAAUUAAAUUUACUCAAAGAAACCCAAUGUUCCUUUUGUAUCAGGAUUUGUUAAAUCUCUUAAAUAUUCAACCUUCCCGAAAAAUUGUGAUCUAAAUAUUCUCAUAUUUAUUGUUUCAAAAAUAACUCAAAAGAAUAUUUAGAAAUUAUACGUUUACCGUACAGUUUUAUAUCUGGUUCUUAAAAAAUCUUCACAAUAAAACAAAACCAAAAAGAAUAAACUUGUUGGUAAAUUUACAUUUCAAUUACUCCUCUUAAGGGAUAAAAGUACCCAUAAAGUUUUACAACUAAUUCAAACUCAAAUUAAAUAAUAUUAUUUAAGAACUUUUACCUAAAAAAUAUAAUAAUAAAAUAAGUAAAUCAUUAAAUUUAAUAUAUAAAACUCGGCCUAAAUUAAAUGACUGUUUAUCAAAAACAUUUCUAAUAGAACUCAUUAUUAGUAUUAUCUGCUCAAUGAUAAUAAAUAGCCGCAAUUACAUUGUGCUAAGGUAGCAUAAUCAUUAGUCUUUUAAUUAAAGACCAGCACGAAAGAUCCAACAUUUUAAUUUCUAUUAUAUAUAAAUUUAUUAAAAUUAUUUUAAAUGUAAAAAAACAUUUAUACAAAAAAGAGACAACAAGACCCUAUUGAACUUUACUUUAGUUUAACUGGGGCAGUUAAUUAAUUAAAAUUUUAAUUUACACUAAAUACCCAAUUGACCCGAUUUAAUCGAUUAUAUAAUCAAGUUACCAUAGGGAUAACAGCGUAAUAAUUUUCUAAAGAUCUUAUUUAAAAAAUUGAUUGCGACCUCGAUGUUGAAUUAAUUAUCUAUUUAAUGCAAUAAUUAAAAAAGAAAGUCUGUUCGACUUUUAAAUAAUUACAUGAUUUGAGUUCAGACCGGCGUAAGCCAGGUCGGUUUAUAUCUUUUACUUAAUUUUUAAUAGUACGAAAGGACCUUAAAAAGUAUUUUAAAUA